rnacentral:rRNA from 1 species
GAUUAGUGGCGCACGGGUGAGUAACGCAUAGGUCAUGUGCCUCUUAGUUUGGGAUAGCCAUUGGAAACGAUGAUUAAUACCAGAUACUCCCUACGGGGGAAAGAUUUAUCGCUAAGAGAUCAGCCUAUGUCCUAUCAGCUUGUUGGUAAGGUAAUGGCUUACCAAGGCUAUGACGGGUAUCCGGCCUGAGAGGGUGAACGGACACACUGGAACUGAGACACGGUCCAGACUCCUACGGGAGGCAGCAGUAGGGAAUAUUGCUCAAUGGGGGAAACCCUGAAGCAGCAACGCCGCGUGGAGGAUGAAGGUUUUAGGAUUGUAAACUCCUUUUGUUAGAGAAGAUAAUGACGGUAUCUAACGAAUAAGCACCGGCUAACUCCGUGCCAGCAGCCGCGGUAAUACGGAGGGUGCAAGCGUUACUCGGAAUCACUGGGCGUAAAGAGCGCGUAGGCGGGAUAGUCAGUCAGGUGUGAAAUCCUAUGGCUUAACCAUAGAACUGCAUUUGAAACUACUAUUCUAGAGUGUGGGAGAGGUAGGUGGAAUUCUUGGUGUAGGGGUAAAAUCCGUAGAGAUCAAGAGGAAUACUCAUUGCGAAGGCGACCUGCUGGAACAUUACUGACGCUGAUUG